GACGAACGCUGGCGGCGCGCUUAACACAUGCAAGUCGAACGGAAAGGCCUGCUUUCCCUUGUGGAUUGCGGGUACUCGAGUGGCGAACGGGUGAGUAACACGUGAGUGAUCUGCCCCCAACUUGGGUAUAAGCCUGGGAAACUGGGUCUAAUUCCCGAUAGGACUGCAGGGUGGUGCCUGUGGUGGAAAACGAUUUUCUAGUGGUUGGGGAUGAGCUCGCGGCCUAUCAGCUUGUUGGUGGGGUAAUGGCCUACCAAGGCGGCGACGGGUAGCCGGCCUGAGAGGGUGGACGGCCACAUUGGGACUGAGAUACGGCCCAGACUCCUACGGGAGGCAGCAGUGGGGAAUAUUGCACAAUGGGCGGAAGCCUGAUGCAGCGACGCCGCGUGGGGGAUGACGGCCUUCGGGUUGUAAACUCCUUUCGAUCGCGAGGAAGCCACCUGGUUGGAAGGGUGGUGACGGUAGUGGUAGAAGAAGCACCGGCUAACUACGUG
rnacentral:rRNA from 1 species